rnacentral:tRNA from 1 species
AGGUGCACACGGAGUUGAACCUUGGACCUAUCGAUCUACUGUCGAUUGCUCUACCACUGAGCUAUACCC